rnacentral:lncRNA from 1 species
GCCCAGCCUGAAAUCAGCCUGUAAACACCCGACCCUCAGCCUAUCUCGGCCCUGAUGACCCGACAGGACCUGAGGAGACCUACGAGGACUUGGGCAGGUGUCACUCCCGGCUGCUUACGUCGUGUAUGGAAGAGAGCAGAGGCCAGUAUACUGUGGCUGUGCCUGCGGUCCCAGCUGCUCGGUAGGCUGAGGAGGGAGGAUCACCUAAGCCCGGGAGGUCCAGGCUGCAGUGAGCUAUAAUCACACCUGGGCCACAGAGUGAGAUCCUGUCUCAAAAAUAAAAAAAAAUAAAAAGAAGCAGAAAUUGGAGCUUUGGGGCCUUGAAGAUGAGCAGCCAAAGCCACCUGGGCCCGAGGCCGGGGUCCCUUGAGGCUGGUGGGUCUGGCUGGGGUUCCGGGCGGUGGGUCUGAGGGCCGGGGUCCCAUGGGCGGUGGGUCUGGCCGGGGUCCUGGGCUUCUGCUUGGGUCCUUACUGUGUAAACUCCUGCGGUUAGGAUGAGUCAUUGGUCCGUACCUGCUUUCCAGGCUCCUGUUCUUGUAACAAAAGAGCUUAUUCUGUUCAAAGCAGCCUAAAAACAGAGAGACCAGUUGAGAGGAGGUGGUGCCGGGCAGGAACUCCUCCGGAAGAUGCUCUCAGGCCCCCGCCAGGACACCCUUUGCCUUGGAGCGGGCAGCAUCACCGUGUCAGCGGGAACCACAACCUGCCAGCCCCUGCCAACCUGGACACCGAGGCCAGCAGGCCUGGGACCGCCAAGGGAGGCCUGGACACACGCACCUUUGGGAUCCAUGCCUGCUCCCCCUUUAGAGCUCGCCGCUGAAGACAGCUCACCAUGGACAAGGGUUUAUCCAACAACCAGAGCUUGGGGCUGUGGUAACUCAGUGCCAGGUGGGGACAGGGUCCCUGCUGGUCACCAGGAGCCUGUGCCGGGAAAACUGGGACACUCCUGCGUCACUGCUGGCCCGGGUGGGACCACCUCUGUUCCCCACUGGCAAUGUCCAAGCCCGGCCAGGGCAUGGUGGGCUCCUCUGCUCUCAGCGCCCAGGCUGCCCUGGCCCCGGUGUCAGUUACGCAGCCACUGCAUCCUCCCUCUGUCCCAGUCAUGUCUACCCAGGUUGCACCCAUGCGUCAGCCCCCUACCCUCCUACAGUCCCCAGACAACACGGCUCCCUUCCUUCCACGUGUGGCCACUCUCCUACUUCUGGCACCACUACCUCCUCUAGCAGCCCCGCAGCCCCUCCCCUCCCUUCUCCUAUUGCUGGGGGCAGGGAAGCUCCAGGGGCAUCCCCAGCACCCAGCGAGGAGCCCGGCAGACAGUCACUGUUCAGAGAACAGCAGACACAUGCAUUAUUAAAGCAAGAAUAGAAAACAAAGUCUGUUUUACAAACUAGUGGUGUUCUUAAAAAUUGAGGGGCCAGGCGUGGUGGCUCACACGUCCGCUGCGGGUGGGACAGAGGUGCCUUCUCUGGGGUGCCCUUCUCCUUUCUUUCCUUUUUCUCUCCCCCAGCUCCAGUGAGCUCCAGCUCAACCACAUCUGGAGGGAAGGCCUGGGCUUCCUCCUAACUUACAAGAAGCCCCUCUGAGCUGGGCACGGGGGCUCACGCCUGUGAUCCCAGCUACUCGGAAGCUGAGGCAGGAGGAUCACUUGGCAACACAGCAAGACCCCAUCUCUUUUUUUUUUUUUUUUUUUUUUUUGUGAGACGGAGUCUUGCUCUGUCGCCCAGGCUGGAGUGCAGUGGUGCGAUCUCGGCUCACUGCAAGCUCCGCCUCCCGGGUUCACUCCAUUCUCCUGCCUCAGCCUCCCGAGUAGCUAGGACUACAGGCGCCCGCUACCACGCCCGGCUAAUUUUUUGUAUGGUUAGUGGAGAUGGGGUUUCACCGUGUUAGCCAGGAUGGUCUCAAUCACCUGACCUCAUAUUCCACCUACAUCGGCCUCCCAAAGUGCUGCGAUUACAGGCGUGAGCCACCGUGCCUGGCGCAAGACCCCAUCUCUUAAAAAAAAAAAUUAUUAUGUUUUUUUGCCAUCAAGCGUUUUCUGUAGAUUUUUGGAAGAAAAUUUUUCUCCUGUUGAGGUCAUUGCUUUGUUGAAUUUUACUGAGUAUCAGCUAUGAACCAGCUGAGACAGGCACACGUCUUUUCUCCUUUAACUGGUGAGAGUGGUAAAAGGUGCAUUAUCUGGGUACCUUUUGUAAUGUUUACUAAACCUGAGUUCCCGGGACAAAAUCCAUUGCUUGAUGAAUUUUGCUGUUAUUUUCUUUGCUGUUUUUAAAAAUAUUUUUCUUUUUUUUUUUUUUUUUGAGACGGAGUCUUGCUCUGUCGCCCAGGCUGGAGUGCAGUGGCGCGAUCUCCGCUCACUGCAAGCUCCGACCCCCUGGGUUCACGCCAUUCUCCUGCUUCAGCCUCCCGAGUAGCUGGGACUACAGGCUUCGCCACCUCGCCCGGCUAGUUUUUUUGUAUUUUUUAGUAGAGACGGGGUUUCACCGUGUUAGCCAGGAUGGUCUCGAUCUCCUGGCCUCGUGAUCCGCCCGCCUCGGCCUCCCAAAG